UACGAAGGGGGCGAGCGUUGUUCGGAUUUACUGGGCGUAAAGGGCGCGCAGGCGGCUUAUUUUGUCAGGCGUGAAAGCCCCGGGCUUAACCUGGGAACUGCGUUUGAUACGGAUGGGCUAGAGUUCGGGAGAGGAGAGUGGAAUUCCCAGUGUAGAGGUGAAAUGCGCAGAUAUCAGGAGGAACACCAAUGGCGAAGGCAGCUCGCUGGGACGUGACUGACGCUGAGACGCGAAAGCGUGGGGAGCAAACAGG
rnacentral:rRNA from 1 species